rnacentral:rRNA from 1 species
GUGGGGUGACUGCGUACCUUUUGUAUAAUGGGUCAGCGACUUAUAUUCUGUAGCAAGGUUAACCGUAUAGGGGAGCCGAAGGGAAACCGAGUCUUAACCGGGCGUUAAGUUGCAGGGUAUAGACCCGAAACCCGGUGAUCUAGCCAUGGGCAGGUUGAAGGUUGGGUAACACUAACUGGAGGACCGAACCGACUAAUGUUGAAAAAUUAGCGGAUGACUUGUGGCUGGGGGUGAAAGGCCAAUCAAACCGGGAGAUAGCUGGUUCUCCCCGAAAGCUAUUUAGGUAGCGCCUCGUGAACUCAUCUUCGGGGGUAGAGCACUGUUUCGGCUAGGGGGUCAUCCCGACUUACCAACCCGAUGCAAACUGCGAAUACCGAAGAAUGUUAUCACGGGAGACACACGGCGGGUGCUAACGUCCGUCGUGAAGAGGGAAACAACCCAGACCGCCAGCUAAGGUCCCAAAGUCACAGUUAAGUGGGAAACGAUGUGGGAAGGCUCAGACAGCCAGGAUGUUGGCUUAGAAGCAGCCAUCAUUUAAAGAAAGCGUAAUAGCUCACUGGUCGAGUCGGCCUGCGCGGAAGAUGUAACGGGGCUAAACUGUGCACCGAAGCUGCGGCAGCGACGCUUAUGCGUUGUUGGGUAGGGGAGCGUUCUGUAAGCCUGCGAAGGUGUCCUGUGAGGGAUGCUGGAGGUAUCAGAAGUGCGAAUGCUGACAUAAGUAACGAUAA